UACGAAGGGGGCUAGCGUUGCUCGGAAUUACUGGGCGUAAAGGGCGCGUAGGCGGCACUGUUAGUCAGGCGUGAAAGUCCUGGGCUCAACCUGGGAACUGCGCUUGAUACGGCAGAGCUAGAGGAUGGAAGAGGCUCGCGGAAUUCCCAGUGUAGAGGUGAAAUUCGUAGAUAUCGGGAGGAACACCAGUGGCGAAGGCGGCACUCUGGGCCGGAACUGACGCUGAGGAGCGAAAGCGUGGGGGAGCAGAACGAGGUAUUAC
rnacentral:rRNA from 1 species